AACCAGCAGGUAGCCUAGUGGUUAGGGCGUUGGACUAGUAACCAGCAGGGAGCCUAGUGGUUAGAGCGUUGGACUAGUAACCAGCAGGUAGCCUAGUGGUUAGAGCGUUGGACUAGUAACCAGCAGGGAGCCUAGUGGUUAGAGUGUUGGACUAGUAACCAGCAGGUAGCCUAGUGGUUAGAGCGUUGGACUAGUAACCAGCAGGUAGCCUAGUGGUUAGAGCGUUGGACUAGUAACCAGCAGGGAGCCUAGUGGUUAGGGCGUUGGACUAGUAACCAGCAGGGAGCCUAGUGGUUAGGGCGUUGGACUAGUAACCAGCAGGUAGCCUAGUGGUUAGAGCGUUGGACUAGUAACCAGCAGGUAGCCUAGUGGUUAGGGCGUUGGACUAGUAACCAGCAGGUAGCCUAGUGGUUAGAGCGUUGGACUAGUAACCAGCAGGUAGCCUAGUGGUUAGAGCGUUGGACUAGUAACCAGCAGGUAGCCUAGUGGUUAGAGCGUUGGACUAGUAACCAGCAGGUAGCAUAGUGGUUAGAGCGUUGGACUAGUAACCAGCAGGUAGCCUAGUGGUUAGAGCGUUGGACUAGUAACCAGCAGGUAGCCUAGUGGUUAGAGCGUUGGACUAGUAACCAGCAGGUAGCCUAGUGGUUAGAGCGUUGGACUAGUAACCAGCAGGUAGCCUAGUGGUUAGGGCGUUGGACUAGUAACCAGCAGGUAGCCUAGUGGUUAGAGCGUUGGACUAGUAACCAGCAGGUAGCCUAGUGGUUAGGGCGUUGGACUAGUAACCAGCAGGUAGCCUAGUGGUUAGAGCGUUGGACUAGUAACCAGCAGGUAGCCUAGUGGUUAGGGCGUUGGACUAGUAACCAGCAGGUAGCCUAGUGGUUAGAGCGUUGGACUAGUAACCAGCAGGUAGCAUAGUGGUUAGGGCGUUGGACUAGUAACCAGCAGGUAGCAUAGUGGUUAGAGCGUUGGACUAGUAACCAGCAGGUAGCCUAGUGGUUAGAGCGUUGGACUAGUAACCAGCAGGUAGCAUAGUGGUUAGAGCGUUGGACUAGUAACCAGCAGGUAGCAUAGUGGUUAGAGCGUUGGACUAGUAACCAGCAGGUAGCCUAGUGGUUAGAGCGUUGGACUAGUAACCAGCAGGUAGCAUAGUGGUUAGAGCGUUGGACUAGUAACCAGCAGGUAGCAUAGUGGUUAGAGCGUUGGACUAGUAACCAGCAGGUAGCAUAGUGGUUAGAGCGUUGGACUAGUAACCAGCAGGUAGCCUAGUGGUUAGAGCGUUGGACUAGUAACCAGCAGGUAGCAUAGUGGUUAGAGCGUUGGACUAGUAACCAGCAGGUAGCAUAGUGGUUAGAGCGUUGGACUAGUAACCAGCAGGUAGCAUAGUGGUUAGAGCGUUGGACUAGUAACCAGCAGGUAGCCUAGUGGUUAGAGCGUUGGACUAGUAACCAGCAGGUAGCCUAGUGGUUAGAGCGUUGGACUAGUAACCAGCAGGUAGCAUAGUGGUUAGAGCGUUGGACUAGUAACCAGCAGGUAGCCUAGUGGUUAGAGCGUUGGACUAGUAACCAGCAGGUAGCCUAGUGGUUAGAGCGUUGGACUAGUAACCAGCAGGUAGCCUAGUGGUUAGAGCGUUGGACUAGUAACCAGCAGGUAGCCUAGUGGUUAGAGCGUUGGACUAGUAACCAGCAGGUAGCCUAGUGGUUAGGGCGUUGGACUAGUAACCAGCAGGUAGCCUAGUGGUUAGAGCGUUGGACUAGUAACCAGCAGGUAGCCUAGUGGUUAGGGCGUUGGACUAGUAACCAGCAGGUAGCCUAGUGGUUAGAGCGUUGGACUAGUAACCAGCAGGUAGCCUAGUGGUUAGGGCGUUGGACUAGUAACCAGCAGGUAGCCUAGUGGUUAGAGCGUUGGACUAGUAACCAGCAGGUAGCCUAGUGGUUAGGGCGUUGGACUAGUAACCAGCAGGUAGCCUAGUGGUUAGAGCGUUGGACUAGUAACCAGCAGGUAGCCUAGUGGUUAGAGCGUUGGACUAGUAACCAGCAGGUAGCCUAGUGGUUAGAGCGUUGGACUAGUAACCAGCAGGUAGCCUAGUGGUUAGAGCGUUGGACUAGUAAC